UAGAUGAUUUGGUGAUGGGAGCUAUGAGUAGUGCAGGCAUGUUGGAUUCAAGGGAUGCUGGGAUCUAUUCUCUCAUCACCUUUGUACCGUCCACGUUUUUGCACUCAGGUCCUUUUGAAGAAAAUGGAAAGUCAUCUGAAAACGACAAUGUAAGUUCAGAAUCACCCACUGUGUUUGGUGAAUGUGAACGACUCUCAGUUUCAGAUUGAUGUUACAUCCUUUUAAAUUACAUUACAUUUACAGUACUGUAGAAUUAAAGGACUGAAGUUAAACUGUCUGUUUCUUUUCUCUAGUCUGAUACGUACCACGUAUACAGCUCAAUCCCCGACAGACCAGCAACGUCAGCCCAGCCGGAUGGGUUUUACAGUCUUCUGCAGACACACUGAAACUACACCACUGGCUCUCUGUAUGUCUCACAGAAAUAUUGUUUCUUUCAGGAUGUCCUUUAUUUAUCACACAUCAUGUUACUGUAAAUAAGUAUCUAAAACAUCUACUACAGUACCGUUUCUAUUUAUAAGCGACAUACAGUAAGCAGUCGCUAGAGGCCCCUCCCCCCUCCAAAAACAACCGUAGGACAGUAGAAUACACAACGCGCAGUUUCAAAAUGUGGUUCUACAUCAGAAGUUUUUCUCUUGUUAUUUCAGCCACUGACAGUCACUCAAUUAUCCCAUGUCAGCUAAGAUUUUAUAGAUUGCUAGGCAAGUUAGUCUAGCCAGCUAUCUAAGUCUUGUCGUAAUGGCCAAAUUACUGCCCAGGGGCCCUGACUUCCAGGGGGCCCCCAAUGAUUUUGUUAGUCACUCUCACUCAGAUAUCAAAUGAACAUGGCAUAAGUCAUGGCAAAAUGUGGAGAAUUGCAGGAAAUUAGCUUUAAACUGAAUGUUAUUAUUUCAACGACAAUGGCACAACGUGUUGAAUUUCAGGGUAUUUGCUUAAUAACAUCAAAGUUCACUCCGCCCCAUGGCAGAAUGAGUAGAAUUGUAGGACAUAAACUUUAACCGUUCGGACAAGAAAGAAAAAAAUCUGUCAUUCUUGUCUGAAGGACAAGUUUCAGAAAAAGUUCAUGUCAAGCCCUGCAGAUAAUUCCACCAUGGGUAACUGGCUAUAAGAACUGAGCCGAUGGACAAGGGGCAAUGAAAUGUGGUAUGUAAACCUUAUGUAUGUCCUUAGAAGCUGUGUGAAUAUAAAGUCACUGCAACCUUAGAUGGCUGCACCAGACCAAAUGGUGGCACUAUGGAUCUCAUCGUCACCAGUGCCACAAUAUUAUAUUAGAGCAAUAACUAUUGAUCAUGUGGACUUUGUCUCAUGCAAUAAAUUAUGUCAAAUAUUGUGGUUAGUAUAUCUGUACAAUCACAUAUCGUUGCCCGUGUUAUGAUGUCUGAAUGUAGGGAAAAGUGGAUAUUUUAUUCUGUAAAAUCCUGUCUUGCCGCUUGCACAGUCAGCGUAUUACAGCUGUGAGAGUGUAUUGAAGUAUUUUGGAACGCUAAUGUGGAGUGAACCAACUGAGAUUUAAAUCAACAUGGUAAUGCUUUCACUGACUGCACAUAAAGGAAGAUAGUUCCUACAUCCCAGAGGGCUGGCUUUGUUAUCCAACUGAUCUUAUGUCCUUUCUGACAUCCUGUGAAACCCGUUCAUUGCUGCUCUCAGGUAUAUUUUUUCUGUCUAAUGUCCAUAUUGUUUCCCCCUUUGAAUAUUGUUCUGUUUGUCUUGAACAAUGUCUAAUUUGUUAUUUCUCUGCUGGUCAAGGAGAUUGAUUUACAAUUGGUCCAUCUCUCUGUUGAUAAUAAGUAACUCAGUUAGUUGAGCAAGUUCUUCUUGUUGGCGAGGCUCCCUGUGCGUUGUCAGCAUUUGAUGGUGCGCCAGUCUAUCAAUCUCUCCAGUGUUAGGUCCAGUGUUGGGUCCUGCUAAUGGUCACCUGCUAAUGAGAGUGGCCAGUAGGGGGAGCAGUGCUGUUGUAAGGGGGGCAGAGAGGCCUGCUGUUCCUCCACACUCCAUGUCAUUAUCCUGCAUCAGACACAGGGGACAUCACAGGAGUUUCAGACCAUAUAAAUUAAUUAAUACAUACAUACAAUACAUACAAUACUUUCAUGUUAUUAAACACUCAUAAACAGGCAUUCAUGUACUUUCCGUGUAUUCACAGAAUUGUGACGCAGACAGAUAUCUACACACUGCAUACCUUGGGGUGAAAAGGAUGACACGUUUCUGGCCGCUUUCUGUCUUUCUGAAACUUCAGCCUAUCACAUUUCAAAGACUCAUUGUGUGCAGAGGGGUUAA
ensembl:lncRNA